UACAGAGGUCCCGAGCGUUGUUCGGAUUCAUUGGGCGUAAAGGGCGCGUAGGCGGCGGGGCAAGUCUGAUGUGAAAUCCCGGGGCUCAACCCCGGAACUGCAUUGGAUACUGCUUUGCUAGAGUACUGGAGAGGGAAGUGGAAUUUACGGUGUAGCAGUGAAAUGCGUAGAGAUCGGAAGGAAGGCCAGUGGCGAAGGCGAGUUCCUGGGCAGUGACUGACGCUGAGGCACGAAGGCGAGGGGAGCAAACGGG
rnacentral:rRNA from 1 species